rnacentral:rRNA from 1 species
CCUACGGGAGGCAGCAGUAGGGAAUCUUCCACAAUGGGCGAAAGCCUGAUGGAGCAACGCCGCGUGGGUGAAGAAGGUCUUCGGAUCGUAAAACCCUGUUGUUAGAGAAGAAAGUGCGUGAGAGUAACUGUUCUCGUUUCGACGGUAUCUAACCAGAAAGCCACGGCUAACUACGUGACAGCAGCCGCGGUAAUACGUAGGUGGCAAGCGUUAUCCGGAUUUAUUGGGCGUAAAGGGAGCGCAGGCGGUCUGUUAAGUCUGAUGUGAAAGCCUUCGGCUUAACCGGAGUAGUGCAUUGGAAACUGGGAGACUUGAGUGCAGAAGAGGAGAGUGGAACUCCAUGUGUAGCGGUGAAAUGCGUAGAUAUAUGGAAGAACACCAGUGGCGAAAGCGGCUCUCUGGUCUGUAACUGACGCUGAGGUUCGAAAGCGUGGGUAGCAAACAGGAUUAGAUACCCCAGUAGUC